ACUGAAAUCAACGACAUAACUUCACACUGCAUCUGAGUGAUACAGCUAAUGCGAGACACUGAGACAAGAGAAAUAAAAUAACGAGGAUGGGCACUGCAGUGAGUGUGGAAGCUAUAGCUCAUAGUACCUGGGAAGUCAGAGGCUUGAAUAUAUAUGCCUCUGGUUUGCUGAUUAUUGGAGCUGUGAUAGUGGUAACAGCGGCCGGAGCAGUGUAUGUGUACAAUUACAUGACAAGAAAUACUGACGGACAAGAUCAUUCCUCUCAAAGUGACCCUGCACAGUGGCAACAGGUGCCUGCUCAUUGGAUACAGAUUCUUCGUGCACUGCUGUUGACCAUCUGACUUUGAAUGUAGUGUAUUUUGUUGUACCAAGUGUAUCUGGAAUCAUAACUCUGCAAUAAAAACAAAAUGCAGACCUA